UUGGANUGGGGGAACCCUGACGCAGCAACGCCGCGUGGAGGAUGAAGUCCUUCGGGACGUAAACUCCUUUCGAUCGGGACGAUAAUGACGGUACCGGAAGAAGAAGCCCCGGCUAACUUCGUGCCAGCAGCCGCGGUAAUACGAGGGGGGCGAGCGUUGUUCGGAAUUAUUGGGCGUAAAGGGUGCGUAGGCGGUUUGGUAAGUCUUGUGUGAAAUCUCCAGGCUCAACUUGGAGUCUGCACGAGAAACUGCCGGGCUGGAGUGUGGGAGAGGUGAGUGGAAUUUCCGGUGUAGCGGUGAAAUGCGUAGAUAUCGGAAGGAACACCUGUGGCGAAAGCGGCUCACUGGACCACAACUGACGCUGAUGCACGAAAGCUAGGGGAGCAAACAGGAUUAGAUACCCUGGUAGUCCACGCCAUAAACGAUCAGAACUAGACGUUGAGAGGGUAAGCCUCCCAGUGUCGAAGCUAACGCGAUAAGUUCUGCGCCUGGGGAGUACGGCCGCAAGGUUGAAACUCAAAGAAAUUGACGGA
rnacentral:rRNA from 1 species